AUUGAACGCUGGCGGUAUGCCUUACACAUGCAAGUCGAACGGUAACGGGCCUUCGGGUGCCGCCGAGUGGCGACCGGUUGAGUAAUGCAUCGGAACGUGCCCGAAUGUGGGGGUUCAUGAGGCGAAGCCUUUGGUAAUUCAGCCUACGAUCUCCGGCUGCAUGCGGGGGACAGCAAGGCCUUUCCCGGACGGACGGGCCGAUGGCAGACUAGGUAGUUGGUGGGAUAAAAGCUUACCAAGCCGACGAUCUGUAGCUGGUCUGAGAGGAUGAUCAGCCACACUGGGACUGAGACACGGCCCAGACUCCUACGGGAGGCAGCAGUGGGGAAUUUUGGACAAUGGGCGCAAGCCUGAUCCAGCCAUGCCGCGUGCAUGAUGAAGGCCUUCGGGUUGUAAACUGCUUUUGUACGGAACGAAAAGCCUUCUUUUAAUACAGGGGGGUCAUGACGGUACCGUAAGAAUAAGCACCGGCUAACUACGUG
rnacentral:rRNA from 1 species